UACAUAGACGCAGCUUGUAUUUUUUAUUGUUUAUGUUUUAUCAAUUAUUUUCUCCUACUCGUGAUUUUUUCAA
rnacentral:ribozyme from 1 species